GAUGGUGACCGCAGUCAUUCCAGCUCCAGCUUCUCCAACUUCGACAAAAUUCUGCACCAACAGAAUUGGCACUAGAGGAAGGGCACUAUGUCUUCGCGGUACCCUUGUUCUUAAAGGAGUGCUCAACGGGACCGAUUCCGAUCAUCUUCUCCAACAUCCUCUUCUCCUUCCUCUACAAGAUCUUCACCCGAUGCCUCCCCGCAAAGCAUCCACCAGGCGAUCCACAGCCUCCACGGC
rnacentral:lncRNA from 1 species